CGAGUCGGACGCCGACAAUUCAGUGGUGGAGAUAUGCAAGGAUCCCUCUGAGGCUUCUUCAGAUAAAUCUCCACCACUGUAAAGCAGCAACUGCUGCCCUCCUACUCCGUUUGGAAUCGAGCGGAGGCGACGUAGUCCUAAUCCAGGAGCCUUGGGUGGUUGGAGACAAGGUCUGUGGAUUAGCGACGAAUGACUACAAGUUGAUUGUAGCACCAAAGGAAGGUAAAAUUCGUACCUGCAUUUUAGCUAGAAAGCAUAUAAACAUAUUUCUGCUUCGCAAUUUUAGCGAUGGCGAGAACAAAGCAGCUAGCCCAGAGCUGCAAGGGACAAACCUCAGAG
rnacentral:lncRNA from 1 species